rnacentral:rRNA from 1 species
UACAGAGGUCUCAAGCGUUUGUUCGGGAUUCAUUGGGCGUAAAGGGUGCGUAGGCGGCGCGGUAAGUCGGAUGUGAAAUCUCGGGGCUUAACUCCGAAACUGCAUUCGAUACUGCCGUGCUUGAGGACUGGAGAGGAGACUGGAAAUUUACGGUGUAGCAGUGAAAUGCGUAGAGAUCAUGAGGAAGACCAGUGGCGAAGGCGGGUCUCUGGACAGUUCCAUGACACUGAGACACGGAAGGCCAGGGGAGCAAAACGGG